GAUGAACGCUGGCGGCGUGCCUAAUACAUGCAAGUCGAGCGAACAGACGAGGAGCUUGCUCCUCUGACGUUAGCGGCGGACGGGUGAGUAACACGUGGAUAACCUACCUAUAAGACUGGGAUAACUUCGGGAAACCGGAGCUAAUACCGGAUAAUAUAUUUAACCGCAUGGUUCAAUAGUGAAAGACGGUUUUGCUGUCACUUAUAGAUGGAUCCGCGCCGCAUUAGCUAGUUGGUAAGGUAACGGCUUACCAAGGCGACGAUGCGUAGCCGACCUGAGAGGGUGAUAGGCCACACUGGAACUGAGACACGGUCCAGACUCCUACGGGAGGCAGCAGUAGGGAAUCUUCCGCAAUGGGCGAAAGCCUGACGGAGCAACGCCGCGUGAGUGAUGAAGGUCUUCGGAUCGUAAAACUCUGUUAUUAGGGAAGAACAAAUGUGUAAGUAACUAUGCACGUCUUGACGGUACCUAAUCAGAAAGCCACGGCUAACUACGUG
rnacentral:rRNA from 1 species